rnacentral:rRNA from 1 species
CUUCGGCCUUAGUGGCGCGACGGGUGCGUAACGCGUGGGGACCUCGCCCCUCGGUUCGGAAUAACAGUUAGAAUGACUGCUAAUACCGGAUGAUGACUUCGGUCCAAAGAUUUAUCGCCGAGGGAUGGGCCCGCGUAGGAUUAGCUAGUUGGUGGGGUAAAGGCCUACCAAGGCGACGAUCCUUAGCUGGUCUGAGAGGAUGAUCAGCCACACUGGGACUGAGACACGGCCCAGACUCCUACGGGAGGCAGCAGUGGGGAAUAUUGGACAAUGGGCGAAAGCCUGAUCCAGCAAUGCCGCGUGAGUGAUGAAGGCCUUAGGGUUGUAAAGCUCUUUUACCAGGGAUGAUAAUGACAGUACCUGGAGAAUAAGCUCCGGCUAACUCCGUG